GGCAGGCUUCCUUGAGCUGUGGUGGGCUCCACCCAGUUCGAGCUUCCCAGCUGCUUUGUUUACCUCAGCAAGCCUGGGCAAUGGCGGGCGCCCCUCCCCCAGCCUCGCUGCGGCCUUGCAGUUUGAUCUCAGACCGCUGUGCUAGCAAUCAGCGAGACUCCGUGGGCGUAGGACCCUCCGAGCCAGGUGCAGGAUAUAGUCUCCUGGUGCGCCGUUUUUUAAGCCCGUCGGAAAAGCGCAAUGCCUCGCCCUGCUUCGGCUCACGCACGGUGCACGCACCCACUGACCUGCGCCCACUGUCUGGCACUCCCUAGUGAGAUGAACCCGGUACCUCAGAUGGAAAUGCAGAAAUCACCCGUCUUCUGCCUCGCUCACGCUGGGAGCUGUAGACCGGAGCUGUUCCUAUUCGGCCAUCUUGGCUCCAUAUCCCCCUCUACUCUUAUCUGCUUCGUUUUUGGGCUUCUUCUUAUUCAUGAAACACCACUGCACCUGCUUCUGCUGCUGCCACUGCAUUCCAGGCUGAGACUACUCCUACCUGCAGAAAAAGAGGUCACUACAUAAAUAUCAAGGUUCUGCUGUCACCACCAUCCAUGCCACUCCUGGUGCCUAACAGCUUGAUGCCCCAGAGACAUGUAAGGAAAAACAGCUUUUUAAACUUGUUCUUUCAUUAAAAUUUUAUCUUCUACAAGCUCAGUCAUGAGUCCACAGAAAUUGAGCCAGAGUAUAGUCUAGGUGAAAUUUGUGUUCAGAAUCACCCCUCUUCUUCAAUAUCACUGUGCAGGCAUCUCUACCUCUCUGUAUUUCUUUGGGAUGAGUUAUUUCCCACAAACUUCUUGGUUCCUCAUGAGUAUCAGAACAGAUAGGUCUCAGCCACCCCACAAAGUAGCGAAGUGAUUAGCUACUUCAGGGUAGUUAACUCUACCUAAUUAUGUAAUUAAUUAAUUCAUAGUCACCCAGGCUAAAAAAAAAAUCUACAAGUAUGUGUUUUAGGAGAUUUAAGGAUAUCCUAAUAUACAAAAUUGAUAUGAGGAAGAAUUAAAAUUUUAUCAACUAUACUCUUCAGUCUAAACAAAGAAUACAGAAGGCAGGUGGUCUGCCUCAGUUACAGAAAUAGGAAGAUCAAUAUGCAAAAUGUUUACAUUUUUUAUUCAAUAUCAUCAGAAAACGAAGACACAGAAUCUGGUAGACAAGAAGAUCCCAGUCACUACAAAUGUGUAGUCUGUUUUAGCACAAAUACCUCAUUAUAUUUCACCAUGGCCUCAGAAUAUUUCAUCAAGAUUAUUAAAG
rnacentral:lncRNA from 10 species